rnacentral:rRNA from 1 species
UACGUAGGGUGCAAGCGUUGUCCGGAAUUAUUGGGCGUAAAGAGCUCGUAGGCGGUUUGUCGCGUCUGCUGUGAAAACCCGAGGCUCAACCUCGGGCCUGCAGUGGGUACGGGCAGACUAGAGUGCGGUAGGGGAGAUUGGAAUUCCUGGUGUAGCGGUGGAAUGCGCAGAUAUCAGGAAGAACACCCGUGGCUAAGGCGGCUCUCUGGGCCUUACCUGACGCUGAGGAGCGAAAGCGUGGGGAGCGAACAGG